AGGGGAGUAGCUCAAUUGGUAGAGUGGCGGUCUCCAAAACCGUUGGUUGCGGGUUCGAGUCCUGCCUCCCCUGCCA
rnacentral:tRNA from 1 species